rnacentral:rRNA from 1 species
CAGGCCUAACACAUGCAAGUCGAACGAAGCCUUCGGGCUUAGUGGCGCACGGGUGCGUAACGCGUGGGAAUCUGCCCUUGGGUUCGGAAUAACAGUUAGAAAUGACUGCUAAUACCGGAUGAUGACGUAAGUCCAAAGAUUUAUCGCCCAGGGAUGAGCCCGCGUAGGAUUAGCUAGUUGGUGAGGUAAAGGCUCACCAAGGCGACGAUCCUUAGCUGGUCUGAGAGGAUGAUCAGCCACACUGGGACUGAGACACGGCCCAGACUCCUACGGGAGGCAGCAGUGGGGAAUAUUGGACAAUGGGCGAAAGCCUGAUCCAGCAAUGCCGCGUGAGUGAUGAAGGCCUUAGGGUUGUAAAGCGCUUUGACCCGGGAUGAUAAUGACAGGACCGGGAGAAGAAGCUCCGGCUAACUCCGUGCCAGCAGCCGCGG